CCUACGGGAGGCAGCAGUAGGGAAUAUUGCUCAAUGGGGGAAACCCUGAUGCAGCAACGCCGCGUGGAGGAUGAAGGUUUUCGGAUUGUAAAGUCCUGUUGUUAGGGAAGAUGAUGGCGGUAUCUUACGAAUAAGCCCCGGCCAACGACGUUCCAGCCGACGCGGUAAUACGGAGGGUGCAAGCGUUACUCGGAAUCACCGGGCGUAAAGGGCGCGUAGGCGGGAUAGCAAGUCAGAUGUUAAAUACUAUGGCUUAACCAUAAAACUGCAUAUAAAACUGUUAUACUAGAGUAUGGGAGAGGUAAGUGGAAUUCUUGGUGUAGGGGUAAAAUCCGUAGAGAUCAAGAGGAAUACUCGUGGCGAAGGCGACCUGCUAGAAUGUAACUGACGCUGAUGCGUGAGAGCAUGGGGAGCAAACAGGAUUAGAUACCCUUGUAGUC
rnacentral:rRNA from 1 species